ACGCUCGACACCUACGGGAGGGCAGCAGUGGGGAAUAUUGCACAAUGGGGGAAACCCUGAUGCAGCGACGCCGCGUGAGCGAAGAAGUAUUUCGGUAUGUAAAGCUCUAUCAGCAGGGAAGAAACUGACGGUACCUGACUAAGAAGCACCGGCUAAAUACGUGCAGCAGCCGCGGUAAUCUGGAGCGGGCUGGCAAGGC
rnacentral:rRNA from 1 species